CUUCUCGCUCGUUCGUAUCCUUGUCUAAAUGUAUAACUAAGAUGUCAUUUAGGUGGUCGGAUGUCGCCGAUCUGAACAUGCAUGGCGAAAACGACUCGCAGGAGAUUGGCCGAGACGUCGCCGGAACCCUAGCCGCCAUUGUUGGAGGCGGCGGCUAGAUGACGUCGGAGAUUGUUUUGAAGUGGACCAGUGAGCUAUUCACCGUCUAACCUCGUCACCGUCGCUGGGGUGUAUAAACCACCACCACCAGUUUCUUCCACACCUUCAGAUAGGGAACAUAACCGAUCCACGCGCCUGGUGGUGUUGCCGCCGUAGCGCCGCCACGGAACCACCGUCCUCGGCCCCUCCCUUUUAACUCCUUCUCAUCUCUAACUCUUUGUCUCGGUAACCAUCUCUUUCUAUUCCUCACGUUUUCUAUCUCUUCCUUUUAAUUUGAACAAAGGCGGUUAGGAACCUAGGUUUUCAUGGAGAUAAGCAGGUGGGUGUCGUCGUGGUAAACAAAAGCUUGUGGCAAUAUUGUAAAUAAGAUCCCAAAACUGUCCAAUUAUCCUAUUGUUCACAAGAACCUACGCUAAUUGUCAUAUAGAAUGUUUGAUUGCUUGUUGAAAAACAUAUUGUCUAUGUACACAACUAGGUUAUAACCCGUGGUACCCACGGGUCGCUCUCUUUUUAAGGAUAUUAAUAUUUUAUUAAUU
rnacentral:lncRNA from 1 species